GUCCGAACCCACAUUCGGACACACGGGACCGAGAGAUGUGCUUCUUUCUCCACGUCUCGAUCGGUAAAACCCGCUGCAGAGGAUCAUCUGGCGUCCGGCUCGAGAACGCGGAGGUGGAUACCUGCUCUGUAAGCUGCUGACGUCAUGGUGGAGAGAUGUGGCGAGAGCAGCCGGCUGGACAUGAGUUCAGCCGAGAAGCCAGAAACCAGCGAUGAGACCAGAGGCGAGACCGGCGCCGUCCUGGACCUGCAGGUCACUUCCAGUCCUGCAGCAGAAGCAACUGAUCGGUCAGCGAGCAUCGUUUCUGAUGACGGCCGGGUCGAAGGGGUCGAGCAGCAGAGGCUUGGCGUCUCAUGUCAGAGCAGAUUGGACCACGCGGAGACAAAUCCUGAUCAUCCUGAUC